rnacentral:rRNA from 1 species
GUAAGGAAUAUUGGACAAUGGACGCAAGUCUGAUCCAGCCAUGCCGCGUGAAGGAUUAAGGUCCUCUGGAUUGUAAACUUCUUUUAUAAGGGACGAAAAAAGGCUUUUCUAAGUCGUCUGACGGUACCUUAUGAAUAAGCACCGGCUAACUCCGUGCCAGCAGCCGCGGUAAUACGGAGGGUGCAAGCGUUAUCCGGAUUCACUGGGUUUAAAGGGUGCGUAGGCGGGCAGGUAAGUCAGUGGUGAAAUACUAGAGCUUAACUCUAGAACUGCCAUUGAUACUAUAUGUCUUGAAUAUUGUGGAGGUAAGCGGAAUAUGUCAUGUAGCGGUGAAAUGCUUAGAUAUGACAUAGAACACCUAUUGCGAAGGCAGCUUACUACGCAUAUAUUGACGCUGAGGCACGAAAGCGUGGGGAUCAAACAGGAUUAGAAACCCGAGUAGUCC